rnacentral:lncRNA from 1 species
UUACUCAAUUUCAACCUAGCAGAUGUCAACUCUCUUAUCCUUGAGGCUUCUAUUUGCCCUUGCAAAGAAGCUAUCUUGCUUAACAUGUAUUAUAUUUGAGCCUCCAUCUAGGAUUGCUAUGCCAUAUCUUCAACCCUUUAUAAUUUCUUUAUCCAAACUCCAAAUUCAUCAAAUAAUACAUCAAAAGUGUAGUAAAAAAAGUGCUCUUUCUAACCCUAGUUGUUGAUCUUUUGUUUCUCUUUGUAAACGUAUGUUAUGUCCCAAAGAGAGACAAUAGAUAUGAAAUUGACACCUUAACUUUGAGCACCAAUAAUUCCUUCAUAAAAACUCCAAAUCACACAAAAUUUGCACCCAAUCCAUAUCCAAAAACCUAAACUUGAUAAUUCUAGCCUCCAAAGUUCAAAUGACUUUGAAAAUAAAACCCUAAUCCCUAAUAUGGCCU